rnacentral:lncRNA from 1 species
AUGGAUGGCUACGUGCUUUUUAGGAAAGACAGGCCAGGAAAGCGAGGUGGAGGAGUUGCUCUUUAUGUGAGAGAGCAACUGGAAUGUAUUGAGCUCUGCCUAGGGGUGGAUGAAGAGCGAGUCGAGAGCUUAUGGGUAAGGAUUAAAGGGCAGGCUAGCAUGGGUGACACUGUUGUGGGUGUUUACUACAGGCCACCUGAUCAGGAUGAGGAAGUCGAUGAGGCCUUCUACAGACAGCUGGAAGUAGCCUCACGAUCCCAGGCCCUGGUUCUCAUGGGGGACUUCAACCACCCCGAUAUCUGCUGGAAAGACAACACAGCUAGGCACAAACAGUCCUGGAGGUUCCUGCAGAGCAUUGGUGACAACUUCUUGACACAGGUGGUGGAGGAGCCAACAAGGAGAGGUGUGCUGCUGGACCUCGUAUUAACAAACAAAGAAGGACUGCUUGAAGAUGUGAAGGUCGGGGGCAGCCUUGGCUGCAGUAACCAUGAGAUGGUGGAGUUCAGGAUCCUGUGUGGAGGCAGCAGGGCACUAAGUAGGAUCGCAACCCUGGACUUCAGGAGAGCAAACUUUGGCCUCUUCAGGGACCUACUUGGAGGAACCCCAUGGGUUAGGGCCCUAGAAGGAAGGGGCGUUCAAGAGAGCUGGUUAAUAUUCAAACAUCACUUCCUCCAGGCUCAAGAGCGGUGCAUCCCUAUGAGUAGGAAGUCAAGCAAAGGAGGCAGGAGACCUGCGUGGAUGAGCAAGGAGCUCCUGGCACAACUCAACCAGAAGAAGGAAGUAUACAGAAAGUGGAAAGGGGGACAGGCCACUUGGGAGGAAUAUAGGAACGUUGUCAGAGUAUGCAGGGAUGCGACGAGGAAGGCUAAGGCCCAUUUGGAAUUAAAUCUGGCGAAAGAUGUCAAGGACAACAAGAAGGGCUUCUUCAAAUACAUCAGUAGCAAGAGGAAGACUAGGGAAAAUGUGGGCCCUUUGCUGAAUGGGGUGGGUGGCCUGGUGACGAAGGAUGCAGAGAAGGCAGAGUUCCUGAAUGCCUUCUUGCUUCAGUCUUCACUGCUCAGGCCAGCCGUCAGGAAUCCCAGACCCUGGAGGCAAGAGAGAAAGUCUGGAGAAAGGAAGACUUUCCCUUGGUGGAGGAGGAGUGGGUUAGAGAUCAUUUAA